rnacentral:rRNA from 1 species
AACGAACGCUGGCGGCAUGCUUAAUACAUGCAAGUCGCACGAGAAAGUUCUUCGGAAUGAGUAGAGUGGCGCACGGGUGAGUAAUACAUAGGAACGUACCCUAGAAUUUGGAAUAACCACGGGAAACUGUGGCUAAUACCGUAUGGUCUCGCAAGAGUAAAGGGGGCGCAAGCUUCCGUUCUAGGAUCGGCCUAUGUCCCAUUAGCUAGUUGGCGGGGUAAUAGCCCACCAAGGCGACGAUGGGUAGCUGGUCUGAGAGGAUGAUCAGCCACACUGGGACUGAGACACGGCCCAGACUCCUACGGGAGGCAGCGGUAGGGAAUAUUGCACAAUGGGGGAAACCCUGAUGCAGCAAUGCCGCGUGAGUGAAGAAGGCCCUUGGGUCGUAAAGCUCUUUCGAUUGGGAAGAAGGGUUCUAUAGCUAACAACUAUAGGACUGGACGGUACCUAAAGAAGAAGCACCGGCUAAUCUCGUGCCAGCCGCCGCGGUAAAAC